rnacentral:rRNA from 1 species
CAGCCGCCGCGGUAAUACGUAGGGUGCAAGCGUUAAUCGGAAUUACUGGGCGUAAAGCGUGCGCAGGCGGUUCGGAAAGAAAGAUGUGAAAUCCCAGAGCUUAACUUUGGAACUGCAUUUUUAACUACCGGGCUAGAGUGUGUCAGAGGGAGGUGGAAUUCCGCGUGUAGCAGUGAAAUGCGUAGAUAUGCGGAGGAACACCGAUGGCGAAGGCAGCCUCCUGGGAUAACACUGACGCUCAUGCACGAAAGCGUGGGGAGCAAACAGGAUUAGAUACCCUGGUAGUCCACGCCCUAAACGAUGUCAACUAGCUGUUGGGGCCUUCGGGCCUUGGUAGCGCAGCUAACGCGUGAAGUUGACCGCCUGGGGAGUACGGUCGCAAGGUUGAAACUUAAAGGAAUUGGCGGG